GCAGCAGCCACGGGAAUACGAAGGGUGCAAGCGUUGUCCGGAAUUAUUGGGCGUAAAGGGCUCGCAGGCGGUUUCUUAAGUCUGAUGUGAAAGCCCCCGGCUCAACCGGGGAGGGUCAUUGGAAACUGGGAAACUUGAGUGCAGAAGAGGAGAGUGGAAUUCCACGUGUAGCGGUGAAAUGCGUAGAGAUGUGGAGGAACACCAGUGGCGAAGGCGACUCUCUGGUCUGUAACUGACGCUGAGGAGCGAAAGCGUGGGGAGCGAACAGGAUUAGAUACCCCGGUAGUCCCUGUCUCUUAUAC
rnacentral:rRNA from 1 species